rnacentral:rRNA from 1 species
ACCUACGGGGCGCAGCAGUGGGGAAUAUUGCACAAUGGGGGGAACCCUGAUGCAGCGACGCCGCGUGAAGGAAGAAGUAUUUCGGUAUGUAAACUUCUAUCAGCAGGGAAGAAAGACGGUACCCGACCAAGAAGCCCCGGCUAACUACGUGCCAGCAGCCGCGGUAAUACGUAGGGGGCGAGCGUUAUCCGGAAUUACUGGGUGUAAAAGGAGCGUAGACGGCGAGGUAAGCCUGAAGUGGAAGCCCGCGGCCCAACCGCGGAAC